rnacentral:rRNA from 1 species
AUACGGAGGGUGCAAGCAUUAAUCGGAUUUAUUGGGUGUAAAGGGCGCGUAGGCUGAUAAGCAAGUCAGAUGUGAAAUUCCGGAACUUAAUUCCGGAGCGGCAUUUGAAACUACUUGUCUAGAGGAUAGACGGAGAAAAUGGAAUUCCACGUGUAGCGGUGAAAUGCGUAGAUAUGUGGAAGAACACCGGUGGCGAAAGCGGUUUUCUAGUUUAUUCCUGACGCUGAGGCGCGAGAGCAAGGGGAGCAAACAGGAUUAGAAACCCCAGUAGUCC